rnacentral:rRNA from 1 species
UUGCGGUUAAAAAGCUCGUAGUUGGAUUUCUGUCGGUGAGUCACAGUCCGCCCGCAGCGGUUGGUACUUGCGACGCCACCGGCAUCUUCCUGGGGACUGUGUCUGCUCUUAAUUGGGUGGCGCAUAAUCCAGGACUUUUACUUUGAAGAAAUGAGAGUGUUUCAAGCAGGCAUGCGCCGUGAAUACGUUAGCAUGGAAUAAUAAGAUAGGACCUCGGUUCUAUUUUUUCGGUUUCUAGAGCUGAGGUAAUGAUUAACAGGGAUAGUUGGGGGCAUUCGUAUUUAACUGUCAGAGGUGAAAUUCUUGGAUUUGUUGAAGACGGACUACUGCGAAAGCAUCUGCCAAGGAUGUUUUCAUUGAUCAAGAACGAAAGUUAGGGGAUCGAAGACGAUCAGAUACCGUCCUAGUCUUAACCAUAAACCAUGCCGACUAGAGAUUGGAGGCCGUUUUUUAUACGACACCUUCAGCACCUUACGAGAAAUCAAAGUCUUUGGGUUCCGGGGGGAGUAUGGUCGCAAGGCUGAAACUUAAAGGAAUUGACGGAAGGGCACCACCAAGAGUGGAGCCUGCGGCUUAAUUUGACUCAACACGG